GACGAACGCUGGCGGCGUGCCUAACACAUGCAAGUCGAGCGGGGGGAGUACUUCGGUACAAACCUAGCGGCGGACGGGUGAGUAACACGUGGGUAACCUGCCUCAAAGUGGGGGAUAGCCUUCCGAAAGGAAGAUUAAUACCGCAUAACCCAUAGCUUCCGCAUGGAAGCAAUGGUAAAGAUUUAUCGCUUUGAGAUGGACCCGCGGCGCAUUAGCUAGUUGGUGAGGUAACGGCUCACCAAGGCCACGAUGCGUAGCCGACCUGAGAGGGUGAUCGGCCACAGUGGAACUGAGACACGGUCCAGACUCCUACGGGAGGCAGCAGUGGGGAAUAUUGCACAAUGGGCGAAAGCCUGAUGCAGCAACGCCGCGUGAGUGAUGAAGGCCUUCGGGUUGUAAAGCUCUGUCUUUUGGGACGAUAAUGACGGUACCAAAGGAGGAAGCCACGGCUGACUACGUGCCAGCAGCCGCCGUAACAC
rnacentral:rRNA from 1 species